rnacentral:lncRNA from 1 species
UCACAUUCAGACUUUUUUGUAGUUUCCAAAGUCACUAUAAUUACUUUGGGAUCUUUUUCCUAAGUUCUGGUUACUUUUCUAGGAGUAGGUAUAACAUGCAUCUUUUCCAAGCCUUGGUAAAUGCAGCCUUGGAAAAUGCAUGACAAGUAGUGCUAUGUAAUUUCCUAGGAGUUGCUUCUCUUUGAAGCCAUUUCAGCCUUAAAAUAGCACCUGAUUGUACUUGAGAGGGGGGGAACGCAUGAAUGAAAUUUGAGAGUUUCUCUUAUGUGAGAGCUUCAUCUUUGUUCUUGGAUUAGAACUUGAUAGUGUUGGUUCUACCGGCAGGUCGCGGUUAGGGUCACGCUUCUUUUGAUAACUUUGGUUCUACCGGCAGGUCGCGGUUAGGGUCAAGUUCCUCUUUCUCUACCUGUUUCCAGGACGGUCCGAAGUGUGCUCUUAUCAA